GAACUCAUCUAAAUUCAAUGACACGUCCACAUCUCCUCCAAUCUCCCUGAUUGAUACGGGUGAAGAAAGUGUCCUUUCGGUACGUUUUAUCCCCAUGCUUACUGCCUCCUAUGCAAUCAACAUCAUCCUGGGUCUCCCAGCCAAUGUCUAUAUCCUGUGGCUGAUACUGACCGGAGCGGGAGGGACGAUGGCCUCAGAGUUCUUCGCUCUCAACCUGACUGUGUCAGAGAUCCUCUUCUGCCUCUUUAAUGCCGUCCGCAUAGCUGAACUCCAGUCAGACAAAUAUGUCCAUUCUAAUCUUGUCCACAAAGCUGCUUCUUUUUCUUUUGGGUUAAUUUUCUCUGGUCGUCCCCUGUUCCAGUGCUGUAUUUGUUUACAGCGAUACCUGGCAGUGGUUCACCCUGUGGUCUUCCUGAAGUACAAACCCCUGAGAUACAAGGUUGGGUGUUGUAGUGUUGUCUGGCUGAUGGUUCUUGGGUCCUGCUGUCUAUCUUUGUUAGAGACACUUUCACCAAUGUUCUUCUACUCUGUCCUUGGCCAGUCUCUGAUCUAUUUCCUUCUGAUGUCAUUCUGCUGCCUCUCAGUUCUCUGGGCUCUGAAACGUCCAGGGCCAGGGGAUGGGGACAGGGAGGGGACAAACAGCAUUAAGAUGAAGGCCUUUAAGCUUCCUUCACACAUCAGAACUACACGAAGUGAGGCGAUCAAUACCUCAACUCCAGCUACCAACUAUUCCAUUCCUGAAGACCCACUGGCUGGCUACUUUUACCAUAUCAAAUCAAUCAGCACUGCUUCCUUAGCAAUCAACAUCAUCCUGGGUCUCCCCAUGUAAAGGAAUUUAUAUGUUUGAAUGUAAUGAUUAAAUAAUUCUACCCUGAGACUUAACUAUUAGGGAUAUGGUCUAUAUAGCAUGUAGAGUGAGCCUAAGUCUAACGAGGUUGGACUAAGAUAAGAGAAGAAUGUGUGUCUCUCUGUUUAAGUAAACACCAAGAACUGUUAAACUGUGGUUGACCUGCCCUAGCUUGAACUCUGAGGGUUUAAGAUAUGAGAGGGAAUCCUCCUCAAGGUUUCCCUAAUCUCAGAGGAAUGAAACUGUCGGCUGGGUAAUGAUCUAUAGUGUUAAGAGAUCUGGGCCUUAAUGUUUGUGUGUAUGUGUGU
rnacentral:lncRNA from 8 species